CUCGUUGGUGACCAGCGGAGGGUCAUUACCGAGUUUACAACUCCCAAACCCCUGUGAACAUACCUUACUGUUGCCUCGGCGGAUCAGCCCGCUCCCGGUAAAACGGGACGGCCCGCCAGAGGACCCCUAAACUCUGUUUCUAUAUGUAACUUCUGAGUAAAACCAUAAAUAAAUCAAAACUUUCAACAACGGAUCUCUUGGUUCUGGCAUCGAUGAAGAACGCAGCAAAAUGCGAUAAGUAAUGUGAAUUGCAGAAUUCAGUGAAUCAUCGAAUCUUUGAACGCACAUUGCGCCCGCCAGUAUUCUGGCGGGCAUGCCUGUUCGAGCGUCAUUUCAACCCUCAAGCCCUCGGGUUUGGUGUUGGGGAUCGGCGAGCCUUUCUGGCAAGCCGGCCCCGAAAUCUAGUGGCGGUCUCGCUGCAGCCUCCAUUGCGUAGUAGUAAAACCCUCGCAACUGGAACGCGGCGCGGCCAAGCCGUUAAACCCCCAACUUCUGAAUGUUGACCUCGGAUCAGGUAGGAAUACCCGCUGAACUUAAGCAUAUCAAUAAGCGGAGGAAAAGAAACCAACAGGGAUUGCCCUAGUAACGGCGAGUGAAGCGGCAACAGCUCAAAUUUGAAAUCUGGCUCUCGGGCCCGAGUUGUAAUUUGUAGAGGAUGCUUUUGAUGCGGUGCCUUCCGAGUUCCCUGGAACGGGACGCCAUAGAGGGUGAGAGCCCCGUCUGGUUGGAUGCCAAAUCUCUGUAAAGCUCCUUCAACGAGUCGAGUAGUUUGGGAAUGCUGCUCUAAAUGGGAGGUAUAUGUCUUCUAAAGCUAAAUACCGGCCAGAGACCGAUAGCGCACAAGUAGAGUGAUCGAAAGAUGAAAAGCACUUUGAAAAGAGAGUUAAAAAGUACGUGAAAUUGUUGAAAGGGAAGCGUUUAUGACCAGACUUGGACUUGGUUAAUCAUCUGGGGUUCUCCCCAGUGCACUUUUCCAGUUCAGGCCAGCAUCAGUUUUCCCCGGGGGAUAAAGGCGGCGGGAAUGUGGCUCUCUUCGGGGAGUGUUAUAGCCCGCCGUGUAAUACCCUGGGGGGGACUGAGGUUCGCGCAUCUGCAAGGAUGCGGCGU
rnacentral:rRNA from 1 species